rnacentral:lncRNA from 1 species
GGGGGAUUCUAAUACAUAUACCAACAACUCUCUUGGAAUUCAAUUGGACUGGUUUAAAGAGAUUAUGCCAUAUUUAUGCAACACAUCUUCAAGUUAGUUCCAACUUUUCCUUCUCAUGUUUUAUUUGAAAUUAUUUGCUGUCCAAAUACUGAGAUGUAUAAGCAAGUGGUUGGCUACACACUUUUGGAUGUUAAUUUGAAGUUGACUCAAGGGGUUAUGGUGGAGUCGCAUAAUCUCGUUGACUUCAUUUCUAAUUCAACCAUUCACAAUCUCCUUUCAUUUUCUUCUGAUUUUUGUUUGUCACCCAUUUGAAGAGUCUCCUUUUCUAUUGAAAGGUUUUUAGUGUCCAAAUGGCAUCAAAGAGAGAACAAGCCACAUCAAUAUUGGCCAAUCCUGGAACCAAAUCUUUGUCACAUACCAUAACUGAACAGAAAAAUUCAGCAUGAUUGAUAUCAACAUUAUGUGGCACCAGAAAUGUACUUCAGAGUGCCAUAUCCCCUCUGAAACUCUUCUACAUAUCAGUGUCGUUGGAGACCCAUCUCUUGUUGGACCUUAAACCAAGAGGUGGCCGCCAUAUGAUUUAUAUGUCUAUGAGGAUGAGGAGGAGGAGGGUCAUCAAAUAAAGGCCACCACAUUGAACUCAUCUCUCUGUCUCUCUCUCUCUCUCACUGAUGACAUGUGCUUAGUUGCUUCAAUUCAAUCAUCAGCUUUGGAGAUUCACUUACUGAUACAGGAAACUUAUACAACAGCUCCCCUAACAAAUCUCUCAACUUCUUCCACCCGCCAUAUGGAGAGACCUACUUUCAUCAUCCCAUGGGAGGAUGCUUGGAUGGUCGUUUGGUCAUAGACUUCAUUGGUACUCAUUCACUUAUAUUAUAUGUAUAUGUAUAUCUGUCUUUUUUCAUCAACUUCUCAUUUAACUUUUCACUUCAUUUUUGCAGCUGAGUCUCUGGGGCUUCCACUGGUACCGCCUUAUCUUGAAAGCCUGAUCAUCAGUAAUCAAACUGUCCAGAACUUUGAAGCGGGUGUGAAUUUUGCAGUAAUAGGAGCCAUGGCGCUCGAUGCUUCCUUUCUUGCAACAAUGGGAGUUCAUAGUGCAAGUACCAACAACUCUCUAAGAAUUCAACUGGAGUGGUUCAAACAAAUGCUGCCAUCUUUGUGCAAAACAUCUUCAGGUAAUUAGUUCCCAAUUUUUUUUCUCAUUAUAUUUUUGUGUUUCCUUUACUUGAAAUUAUUUCCUGUCCACUUGCUUAUGUGGUUGUCCAGACUAGUAUUAAAGAGGAAGUGAGACAUUGGUUGAUAGACCAGUAGUUUAAUUUUUAUUUCUGAUUAAUUACAGACUGCAACAAAGUCUUUUCAACUUCUCUAAUUCUAAUGGGAUCAAUUGGGGGCAACGAUUACAACAAUGCAUUGCUUGCAGGAAAAAAUAUAGAACUGGUUCGAGCAUAUUUAGUAUUUACCAUUAGUGAUAGAAACAAUUGAUUCAACCAUCAAUGUAAGACUUUGGAAUCAUAGUUGCUACUAAGGCAGUCUUUUUUUUCCCUUCAAUAUUGGCUAUGAAUUACAGGCUUGCAUAAUUUUCUGUGGCUGCAUGGCUUGCAGGAGUUAAUCGAGCUCGGGGCAGCAACCCUUUUGGUAGCAGGCGACUUUCCAAUUGGUUGCCUUCCUGCUUGUCUAACAAAAUAUGGGAGUUCAGAUAAGAACCAAUAUGACCCUAAAACUGGCUGCCUAAAAUGGUUAAAUGAGUUUUUUCAGUACCACAAUGAGCAGAUUCAGAUAGAACUAAGUCGGAUUUGA